AUUGAACGCUGGCGGCAUGCCUUACACAUGCAAGUCGAACGGCAGCAUGAUCUAGCUUGCUAGAUUGAUGGCGAGUGGCGAACGGGUGAGUAAUACAUCGGAACGUGCCCUGUAGUGGGGGAUAACUAGUCGAAAGAUGAGCUAAUACCGCAUACGACCUGAGGGUGAAAGUGGGGGACCGCAAGGCCUCAUGCUAUAGGAGCGGCCGAUGUCUGAUUAGCUAGUUGGUGAGGUAAAGGCUCACCAAGGCGACGAUCAGUAGCUGGUCUGAGAGGACGAUCAGCCACACUGGGACUGAGACACGGCCCAGACUCCUACGGGAGGCAGCAGUGGGGAAUUUUGGACAAUGGGCGAAAGCCUGAUCCAGCAAUGCCGCGUGUGUGAAGAAGGCCUUCGGGUUGUAAAGCACUUUUGUCCGGAAAGAAAUGGCUCUGGUUAAUACCUGGGGUCGAUGACGGUACCGGAAGAAUAAGGACCGGCUAACUACGUG
rnacentral:rRNA from 1 species